rnacentral:lncRNA from 1 species
UUCGAAUCGAGUUGAGUUUUCGAAUUCAAAUAACUCGAAUAAUUCGAAUAAUUCGAAUAUCAAACUAUAAUAUUUUACAUUUUUACCCCAAACUCCCAAACCUUUUUACUUUUUCCUCAAAACUUUUACUCCUUCCCACUUUCUCCCCAAAACUUUUACUCCUUCCCACUUUCUCCCCAAAACUUUUACUCCCCUCCCCUCCCAACCCUCCGAUCUACCCAAAAUCCAUUUCCCACCAAAAUUUUACUCUCCCAUUUAUUUUUUCUCAAAAUUUUACUCCCAAAAACCCUUAAAACCUUUUAUUUUCCCCCAAAAUUUUUACUCCCUCCCACUUUUCCCCUAAAACUUUUAUUCUCUUCCCAUCUCAUCUCCCAUCUAUCCCAAACCCUCCCCCCUCCAAUUUUUUUUUAAUAUUUUCCCUCCAAAAUUUUACUCCCCCUAUUUACUUUCCCUCAAACUUUUAUUCCCCAAAACUUUUUAUUUUUCCUCUAAACUUUUACUUCUCACCCUUU